GAUGAACGCUAGCGGCAGGCUUAACACAUGCAAGUCGAGGGGCAGCAUGACACGGAGAUUCGUCGAAGUGUUGAUGGCGACCGGCGCAAGGGUGCGUAACGCGUGAGCAACUUGCCCGUUUCAGGGGGAUAACCGGUGGAAACGCCGACUAAUACCCCAUAGUAUUGAUUUAAGGCAUCUUUUAUCAAUUAAAGAACUUCGGAAACGGAUAGGCUCGCGUGACAUUAGCUAGAUGGCGGGGUAACGGCCCACCAUGGCGACGAUGUCUAGGGGUUCUGAGAGGAAGGUCCCCCACACUGGAACUGAGACACGGUCCAGACUCCUACGGGAGGCAGCAGUGAGGAAUAUUGGUCAAUGGUCGAGAGACUGAACCAGCCAUGCCGCGUGAAGGUGACGGCCCUAUGGGUCUUAAACUUCUUUUGUAAGGGAGCAAUAAGUCUCACGUGUGGGAUGAUGAGAGUACCUUACGAACAAGCAUCGGCUAACUCCGUGCCAGCA
rnacentral:rRNA from 1 species